rnacentral:rRNA from 1 species
UUCUAAGCUUCAGGUAACCAGGAACCGUACCCCAAACCGACACAGGUGGUUGGGUAGAGAAUACCAAGGCGCUUGAGAGAACUCGGGUGAAGGAACUAGGCAAAAUGGCACCGUAACUUCGGGAGAAGGUGCGCCGGUGAGGGUGAAGCAUUUACUGCGUAAGCCCAUGCCGGUCGAAGAUACCAGGCCGCUGCGACUGUUUAUUAAAAACACAGCACUCUGCAAACACGAAAGUGGACGUAUAGGGUGUGACGCCUCCCCGGUGCCGGAAGGUUAAUUGAUGGGGUUAGCUAACGCGAAGCUCUUGAUCGAAGCCCCGGUAAACGGCGGCCGUAACAAUAACGGUCCUAAGGUAGCGAAAUUCCUUGUCGGGUAAGUUCCGACCUGCACGAAUGGCGUAACGAUGGCGGCGCUGUCUCCACCCGAGACUCAGUGAAAUUGAAAUCGCUGUGAAGAUGCAGUGUAUCCGCGGCUAGACGGAAAGACCCCGUGAACCUUUACUAUAGCUUUGCACUGGACUUUGAAUUUGCUUGUGUAGGAUAGGUGGGAGGCUUUGAAGCGUGGACGCCAGUUCGCGUGGAGCCAACCUUGAAAUACCACCCUGGCAACUUUGAGGUUCUAACUCAGGUCCGUUAUCCGGAUCGAGGACAGUGUAUGGUGGGUAGUUUGACUGGGGCGGUCUCCUCCUAAAGAGUAACGGAGGAGUACGAAGGUGCGCUCAGACCGGUCGGAAAUCGGUCGUAGAGUAUAAAGGCAAAAGCGCGCUUGACUGCGAGACAGACACGUCAGCAGGUACGAAAGUAGGUCUUAGUGAUCCGGUGGUUCUGUAUGGAAGGGCCAUCGCUCAACGGAUAAAAGGUACUCCGGGGAUAACAGGCUGAUACCGCCCAAGAGUUCAUAUCGACGGCGGUGUUUGGCACCUCGAUGUCGGCUCAUCACAUCCUGGGGCUGAAGCCGGUCCCAAGGGUAUGGCUGUUCGCCAUUUAAAGUGGUACGCGAGCUGGGUUUAGAACGUCGUGAGACAGUUCGGUCCCUAUCUGCCGUGGACGUUUGAGAUUUGAGAGGGGCUGCUCCUAGUACGAGAGGACCGGAGUGGACGAACCUCUGGUGUUCCGGUUGUCACGCCAGUGGCAUUGCCGGGUAGCUAUGUUCGGAAUAGAUAACCGCUGAAAGCAUCUAAGCGGGAAACUAGCCUCAAGAUGAGAUCUCACUGGGACCUUGAGUCCCCUGAAGGGCCGUCGAAGACUACGACGUUGAUAGGUUGGGUGUGUAAGCGCUGUGAGGCGUUGAGCUAACCAAUACUAAUUGCCCGUGAGGCUUGAUCAA